CGGCGAACGGGUGAGUAACACGUAGGCAACUUACCUCGUGGACGGGGAUAACCCCGGGAAACCGGGGCUAAUACCCGAUGCAGCCCUGUUGCGGCAUCGUAGCAGGAUGAAAGGUCCCCAAAGGACGUCACGAGAUGGGCUGCGUCCCAUUAGAUAGUUGGCGGGGUAACAGCCCACCAAGUCGACGAUGGGUAGCUGGUCUGAGAGGACGACCAGCCACACUGGAACUGAGACACGGUCCAGACUUCUACGGAAGGCAGCAGUGAGGAAUAUUGCUCAAUGGGCGAAAGCCUGAAGCAGCGACGCCGCGUGAGGGAUGAAAUCCGUUAGGAUGUAAACCUCUUUUGCAGGGGAAGAAUCUCUCGCCCUCGGGCGGGAUUGACGGUACCCUGCGAAUAAGCACCGGCCAACUACGUGCCAGCAGCCGCGGUAAUACGUAGGGUGCAAGCGUUGUCCGGAAUUACUGGGUGUAAAGGGUCCGCAGGCGGACGGGCAAGUCGAUGGUGAAAUCCCCCCGCUUAACGGGGGAACUGCCUCCGAUACUGCUCGUCUUGAGUUCGGAAGAGGGUGAUGGAAUUCAUGGUGUAGCGGUGAAAUGCGUAGAGAUCAUGAAGAACACCGGUAGCGAAGGCGGUCACCUGGUCCGUAACUGACGCUCAGGGACGAAAGCGUGGGGAGCAAACAGGAUUAGAUACCCUGGUAGUCCACGCCUUAAACGAUGGAUGUUCGGUGUCGGUCCGCACGGAUCGGUGCCUGAGCCAACGCGUUAAACAUCCCACCUGGGGAGUACGAUCGCAAGGUUGAAACUCAAGGAAUUGACGGGGGCCCGCACAAGCAGUGAGCAUGUGGUUCAUUCG
rnacentral:rRNA from 1 species